AAAAAGAGAACUUCAGUUGAAAGCAAAAAAGACUUACUUUUUGCAAAUCCUUAGUAAUUUUGCCAUCAAAUAGAAGAUGGCAGCAUUGUCUAUGACCUGGUCUUGCUCUCCCUUAACCUCCUCAAAAUUUCGGCGAGUCAAUCGAUAUUCAGGAAUGGCAUUUGCAAGUGUGAAAUCUACUGAAGGGUUGGGGAAUUUACCCAAGGUCGUUUUGACUUCUCCUCAUGGAAGUGAGGCUGAGCUAUAUCUAUUUGGAGCUUGUGUCACAUCUUGGAAAGUAGACAGUAAAGAUCUACUUUUUGUUCGACCAGAUGCUGUAUUCAAUGGUCAGAAACCAAUCAGUGGAGGAAUACCACAUUGUUUCCCACAAUUUGGACCUGGCCCAAUCCAGCAGCACGGAUUUGGAAGGAACAUGAAUUGGUCCCUUGUUAGCUCUGAAAGUGUGAAGGAGAAACCUGUUGUUACUGUGGAGCUAAGGGAUGGGCCUUAUAGCCGUGCAAUGUGGGACUAUAGUUUCCAUGCUCUUUACAAGAUCACUCUUGAUAAGAAGACCCUGUCAACAGAACUCACAGUUAAAAAUACUGACAACAAGCCAUUUUCAUUCACUACUGCACUGCAUACUUACUUCAGCGCUUCUGUAACAGGUGCAUCAGUUAAUGGUUUAAAAGGUUGCAAAACUCUAAACAAGGUUCCUGAUCCCACAAACCCUGUCGAGGGAAAAGAGGAAAGAGAUGUGGUGACAUUUCCUGGAUUUGUGGACUGUGUUUAUCUUGAUGCACCUAAUGAGUUACACCUAGAUAAUGGCUUGGGUGAUAAGAUAUCUAUCAAAAACACCAAUUGGUCUGAUG
rnacentral:misc_RNA from 1 species